rnacentral:lncRNA from 1 species
UAUGAAACUAAUCCUAUAAUCCUUUUCUUCCUAACAGAAGAGCAGUGGAAUGCUGUGGGCCGGAGAAACUCAGGCAGCUGGCAGUUGGGCUCUAAGCAACAGCAUGGUAGACACCAGCCUCCCCUCUCAGUCCUGCGGGCUGUGAAGUGGUGAUAAUAACACACUCUGAGCAGCUGGAGAUUUCUCUGGAGCCAGACUACAGGGGAGACCAUGAAGAAGAAAAUACAGAUGAAACAGGAAGAGGAGGAGCCUUAGGUGCAGCAGCGUGGGUGCUUAACAAACAGUGGGUCUUUCUCAGGACACAUGGUGCUGGGAGGAAGGCUGAGAGUCUAGGAAUGGAGAAAACCAUGAUGGAGGCCCGAGCCAUUUUGCAGUACAUGUUCUUCACACUCAGGAAUGACUUCCCACAGCAGUGUCUCCAGACCUCUACUCAGCCUCUGUCGAGAAAGAAAAAAUUGGAGUGUUGCAAUCAAACUUGACAGAUAAAAAUGUUAAGUUCUACAUUAAAAAAAUUCUUCAGAG